GACGAUCAUCUAACUUAGAUUUAUUAACAACAAAUUGUUUUGAGAAUCGGGUUAGACUGAGUCUGAAUAUUAAUAGCUGUUAUUAUUCAGGAAGAUCAGCCUCAGAACGUUUACGAAUGAGCAACCUCGUUAGCUUAACUGAGCGAAUACUCGUUAUGUUCUGUGGCGUUGGGCCUUUUCUAUGCGUACUAGGAGCGCGUGUUCUUCAGAAAAUUAAAGAAGCAACCAGUAAAGGAACACCAGAGACUUUAGGUAACUUUAAUGUUAGAAUUUACGGUGUAGAACUUAAUACGGAAGCUUUUGAGUUGUGUAAGAAAAAUAUUAAAAGUAACAAAGGCCUUUCGGAUUUUUGUUAUUGCUACGAAGGCGAUGUUAAAGUCGUUGUGCCAAGUAUUGUUCGUGAAACGGGUAAAAAGUUUGACCGCAUCAUUAUGCCCACCCCCCACUGCGAUGACCAAAACAGUUUUCUUAUUGGCUGCACUCCAACCACAUGCUUUGACCUGCCAUUACUACACAAGGAAUACAUCAAUAUCGCUCUUUCCUCAUUAAAUGAAGCGGGAGGGUUUAUUCACUACUAUUUUAUU